rnacentral:rRNA from 1 species
AUUGAACGCUGGCGGCAGGCCUAACACAUGCAAGUCGAGCGGAUGAAGGGAGCUUGCUCCUGGAUUCAGCGGCGGACGGGUGAGUAAUGCCUAGUAAUCUGCCUGGUAGUGGGGGAUAACGUCCGGAAACGGGCGCUAAUACCGCAUACGUCCUGAGGGAGAAAGUGGGGGAUCUUCGGACCUCACGCUAUCAGAUGAUCCUAGGUCGGAUUAGCUAGUUGGUGGGGUAAAGGCCUACCAAGGCGACGAUCCGUAACUGGUCUGAGAGGAUGAUCAGUCACACUGGAACUGAGACACGGUCCAGACUCCUACGGGAGGCAGCAGUGGGGAAUAUUGGACAAUGGGCGAAAGCCUGAUCCAGCCAUGCCGCGUGUGUGAAGAAGGUCUUCGGAUUGGAAAGCACUUUAAGUUGGGAGGAAGGGAAGUAAGUUAAUACCUUGCUGUUUUGACGUUACCAACAGAAUAAGCACCGGCUAACUUCGUG